AUUUGGUCGUAGACCCGAAACCAGGUGAUCUACCCUUGGUCAGGUUGAAGUUCAGGUAACACUGAAUGGAGGACCGAACCGACUUACGUUGAAAAGUGAGCGGAUGAACUGAGGGUAGCGGAGAAAUUCCAAUCGAACCUGGAGAUAGCUGGUUCUCUCCGAAAUAGCUUUAGGGCUAGCCUCAAGUGAUGAUUAUUGGAGGUAGAGCACUGUUUGGACGAGGGGCCCCUCUCGGGUUACCGAAUUCAGACAAACUCCGAAUGCCAAUUAAUUUAACUUGGGAGUCAGAACAUGGGUGAUAAGGUCCGUGUUCGAAAGGGAAACAGCCCAGACCACCAGCUAAGGUCCCAAAAUAUAUGUUAAGUGGAAAAGGAUGUGGCGUUGCCCAGACAACUAGGAUGUUGGCUUAGAAGCAGCCAUCAUUUAAAGAGUGCGUAAUAGCUCACUAGUCGAGUGACACUGCGCCGAAAAUGUACCGGGGCUAAACAUAUUACCGAAGCUGUGGAUUGUCCUUUGGACAAUGGUAGGAGAGCGUUCUAAGGGCGUUGAAGCAUGAUCGUAAGGACAUGUGGAGCGCUUAGAAGUGAGAAUGCCGGUGUGAGUAGCGAAAGACGGGUGAGAAUCCCGUCCACCGAUUGACUAAGGUUUCCAGAGGAAGGCUCGUCCGCUCUGGGUUAGUCGGGUCCUAAGCUGAGGCCGACAGGCGUAGGCGAUGGAUAACAGGUUGAUAUUCCUGUACCACCUAUAAUCGUUUUAAUCGAUGGGGGGACGCAGUAGGAUAGGCGAAGCGUGCGAUUGGAUUGCACGUCUAAGCAGUAAGGCUGAGUAUUAGGCAAAUCCGGUACUCGUUAAGGCUGAGC
rnacentral:rRNA from 2 species